rnacentral:rRNA from 1 species
GAUGAACGCUGGCGGCGUGCCUAAUACAUGCAAGUCGAGCGAACCACUUCGGUGGUGAGCGGCGAACGGGUGUGUAACACGUAGGUGAUCUGCCCAUCAGACGGGGACAACGAUUGGAAACGAUCGCUAAUACCGGAUAGGACGAAAGUCUAAAGGUGCUUCUGGCACCGCUGAUGGAUGAGCCUGCGGCGCAUUAGCUAGUUGGUAGGGUAAAGGCCUACCAAGGCGACGAUGCGUAGCCGACCUGAGAGGGUGAACGGCCACACUGGGACUGAGAGACGGCCCAGACUCCUACGGGAGGCAGCAGUAGGGAAUCUUCGGCAAUGGGCGAAAGCCUGACCGAGCAACGCCGCGUGAAUGAUGAAGGCCUUCGGGUUGUAAAAUUCUGUUAUAAGGGAAGAACGACUUUAGUAGGAAAUGGCUAGAGUGUGACGGUACCUUAUGAGAAAGCCACGGCUAACUACGUGCCAGCCGCCGCGGUAAAAC